GUUCCAAGUGAUGAAGUACCCCCCAACGUUGUCCACAGGUGUGCUUGUCUGGAAAGGACAGGACUGGCAUGUUCCCUGUAAUCAGGGACCCCACGAUGGCAUCCACAGUUGUGCUUGUCUGGAAUGUUCUGGAGUGGCGUGCUCCCUGUGAUGAGGGAACCAGCAUCAUCGUCCACAAGUAUGCCUUUAUGGAAUGGGCUGGAGUGGCAUGUUCCCCACGACGAGCACCACAUGUUGGGGUCCACAGUGGGAGUGAUCGGCAUGUUCUCCAUGCUGAAGAACCCCAUGACAGUGUCCACAGGUGUGCCUGUCUGAAACUGGCUGGAGCAGCAUGUUCCAAGUGAUGAAGAAACCCGUGAUGGCAUCCACAGGUGUGCCUGUAUGGAAAGGGCUGGAGGGGUGUGUUCCCUGGUACAAGGGACCCUGCAGUGGCGUCCACAGGUUUACCUGUGUAGAACGGGCUGGAGUGGCGUGUUCCCCACCACUAGGGUCCUCAUGACUUUGUCCACAGUUGUGCUUGCCGGGAAUGGGAUGGUGCAGCCUGUUCCCCCUGAUGAGGGAUUCCACAAUAGAGUCCGCAGGUGUGCCUGUCUAGAACAGUCUCAAGUGGCAUGUUCCCCAGGAUGAGGGGCCCUGUGACAGUGUCCCAAGGUGUGCCUGUCUGGAACGGGCUGGAGGGUAGUGUUCCCCAAGACAACUGACCCUGGACAGUGUCCUGUCUGGAGCCGGAUGGAUUGGCAUGUUCCCUACAACAAGGAACCCCAUGAUGGCAUCCAUAGGUGUACCUGUCUGGAAUGGGAUGGAGGGGUGUGUUCCCCAUGAUGAGGGACCCCAUGGCAGAGUCCAAGGUGUGCCUGUAAGGAUCAGGCUGGAGCAGCAUGUUCCCUGAACCUAGGGUCCCUGUGACUUCGUCUGCAGCUGUACCUGGCUGGAAUGGGCUGGAUUGAUAUGUUCUAGCAACAGUGUCCAUAGGUUUGCCUAUCUGUAACGGGCUGGAUAGGCGUGUUUUGUGGGACGAAGUCUCAUGUAAUGGCGUCCACCUGUGUCCCUGUCUGGAUUGGGAUGGAUCGGCAUGUUGCUCAUAAUGAGGAACCUCAUGAGUUAGUCCACAGGUGUGCCUGUCUGGAAUGGGCUGGAGCAGCAUGUUACCUGUGAUGAAUUACCGCACGAUGGCAUCCACAGGUCUGCCUGUCUGGAACUGCUACAGUGGUGUGCCUGUCUGGAACAUGCUGGAGCAGCAUGUUCCCUGUGAUGAGGAACUUCGGUGUGGUGUCUACAGGUAUGCCUGUAUGGAACAGGCUGGAGCAACAUGUUCCCCAUGAUGAGGGACCAUGUGUUGGUGUGCACAGGUGAGACUGACUGGAAGGGGAUGGAUUGGCAUGUUCCCCGUGAUGAGGAACCCCUCAAUGUCAUCCCCAGGUGUGCCUGUCUAGAACGUGCACAAGCAGGGUUUUUCCCAUGUUGAGUGACUCUUCCACGGCAUCCACAAGUGUGCCUGCCUGUAAGGGCCUGGAUAGGUGUGUUCCUCGAGACAAGGUACCCUGUGAUGUCGUCCUCAUGUGUGCCUGUCUGGAGUGGGAGGGAUCAACAUGUUCCCCAUGAGGAAGAACCCCAUGAUAGUGUCCACAGGUGUGCCUGUCUGAAACGGGCUGGAGCAGCGUGUUCUAAGUGAUGAAGGAACCUGCAAUGGCAUCCACAGGUGUGCCUGUAUGGAAAGGGCUGGAGGGGUGUGUUCCCUGCUAUGAGGGAUCCUGUAAUGGCGUCCACAGGUUUGCCUGUCUGGAACCAGCUGGAGUGGUGUGUUCCUGGCCACUUGGGUCCGAGUGACUUCAUCCACAGUUGUACCUGCCUGGAACAGGACAGUGCAGCCUGUUCCCCAUGUUGAGGGAUUCCGCAAUGGAGUCCACAGGUGUGCCUGUCUAGAACAGUCUCAAUCAGAAUGUUCCCCAGGAUGAGGGACCCUGUGACAGUGUCCCAAGGUGUAACUGUCUGGAACGGGCUGGAGGGUAGUGUUCCCCAAGUCCACUGACCCUGGACUGUGUCCUAUCUGGAGCUGGAUGGAUUGGCAUGUUCCCUGCAACAAGGAACCCCGUGAUGCCAUCCAUAGGUGUUUCUGUCAGAACGGGAUAGAGGGGCAUGUUCCCCAUGAUGAGGGACCCCAUGGCAGAGUCCAAGGUGUGCCUGUAAGGCCCAGGCUGGAGCAGCAUGUUCCCUGAACCUAGGGUCCCUGUGACUUCAUCUGUAGCUGUGCCUGGCUGGAAUGGACUGGAUUGGUGUGUUUCUGUGACAAGGUAUCUAGCAACAGCAUCCACAGGUGUGCCUGUCUGUAACAGCCUGGAUAGGCAUGUUUUGUGGGACGAGGUCUCAUGUAAUGGCAUCCACAUGUGUCCCUGUCUGGAGCUGGAUGGAUUGGCAUGUUCCCUGCAACAAAGAACUCGGAGAAACCACCCAUAUGUGUACCUCUCUGGAACAGGAUGGAGGGGCAUGUUCCCCAUAAUGAGGGACCCCAUGACAGAGUCCAAAGUGUGCCUGUAAGGAACAGGCUGCAGCAGCAUCUUCCCUGAACUUAGGGUUCCUGUCACUUCAUCUGCAUCUGUGCCUGACUGGAAUGGGCUGGACUGAUGUGUUCUCUGUGACAAGGGAUCUAGCAACAGCGUCCACAGGUGUGCCUUUCUGUAAAGGCCUGGAUAGGCAUGUUUUGUGGGACGAGGUCUCAUGUAAUGGUGUCCACAUGUGUCCCUGUCUGGAUUGGGAUGGAUCGGCAUGUUACCCACAAUGAGGAACCUCAUGAGUUUGUCCACAGGUGUGCCUGUCUGGAAUGGGGUGGAUCAGCAUGUUCCCUGUGAUGAGAUGCCACGAUGGUGUCCACAGCUGUGCCUUUCUGGAAUGGUCUGUAUCGGCUUGUUCCCCACGACGAGCACCACAUGUUGGGGUCCACAGGUGAGACUGUCUGGAAAGGGAUGGAUUGGCAUGUUCCCCAUGAUGAAGAACCCCUCAUCAGCAUCCACAGUUGUGCCUGUCUGGAACGGGCACAAGCUGUUUUUUCCCUAUGUUGAGUGACCCUACUGUGGCAUCCACAGGUGUACCUGCCUGUAAUGGGAUGGAUAGGCAUGUUCUCUGAGACAGUGUUCCCUGUGAUGUCAUCCACAUGUGUGCCUUUCUGUAGAGAGAGGGAUCGGCAUGUUCCCCAUGACCAAGAAACCUGUGACAUUGUCCACAGUUGUGCCUGUCUGAAACGGGCUGGAGCAGCGUGUUUCAAGUGAUGAAGAAACCCGUGAUGGCAUCCAUAGGUGUGCCUGUAUGGAAAGGGCUGGAGGGGUGUGUUCCCUGGUAUGAGGGACCCUGGAAUAGCGUCCACAGAUUUACCUGUCUAGAACGGGCUGGAGUUGUGUGUUCCCCACCACUAGGGUCCUCAUGACUUUGUCCACAGUUGUGACUGCCGGGAAUGGGAUAGUGCAGCCUGUUCCCCAUGAUGAGGGAUUCUGCAAUGGAGUCCACAGGUGUGCCUGUCUAGAACAGUCUCAAGUGGCAUGUUCCCCAGGAUGAGGGACCCUGUGACAGUGUUCCAAGGUGUGCCUGUCUGGAACGGGCUGGAGGGUAGUGUUCCCCAAGACCACUGACCUUGGAUGGUGUCCUGUCGAGCUGGAUGGAUUUUGCAUGUUCCCUGCAACAAGGAACCCUGUGAUGCCAUCCAUAGGUGUACCUGUCUGGAACGGGAUGGAGGGGCAUGUUCCCCAUGAUGAGGGACCCCAUGACAGUGUCCAAGUUGUGCCUGUAAGGAUCAGGCUGGAGCAGCAUGUUCCCUGAACCUAGGGUCCCUGUGACUUCGUCUGCAGCUGUGCCUGGCAGGAAUGGGCUGGAUUGGUGUGUUCUCUGUGACAAGGGAUCUAGUAACAGCGUCCACAGGUGUGCCUGUCUGUAAUGGCCUGGAUAGGCAUGUUUUGUUGGACAAGGUCUCAUGUAAUGGCAUCCAAAUGUGUCCCUGUCUGGAGUGGGAUCGAUCAACAUGUUAACCACAAUGAGGAACCUCAUGAGUUCAUCCACAGGUGUGCCUUGUCUGGAACGGGCCGGAGCAGCAUAUUCGUUGUGAUGGAGGACCCCAUGAUGGCAUCCACAGGUCUGCCUGUCUGGGACUGGUUUAGUGGUGUGUUCCCUGUGAAGAGGGACCCUGUAACCAUGUCCACAAGUGUAUUAGUCUGGAAAGGGCCAGAGUGGCAUAUUCCAUGUGACAAGGAACUCUGCAAUGGUGUCUACAGGUAUGCCUGUCUGGAACAUGCUGGAGCAGCAUGUUUCCUGUGAUGAGGAACUUCAGUGUGGUGUCUACAGGUAUGCCUGUAUGGAAUAGGCUGGAGCGGAAUGUUCCCCAUGAUGAGGAACCACAUGUUGGUGUGCACAGGUGUGACUGUCUGGAAGGGGAUUGUUUGGUGUUUUCCCCAUGAUGAGUAACCCCUCAAUGUCAUCCCCAGGUGUGCCUGUCUAGAACGUGCACAAGCAGAGUUUUCCCCAUGUUGAGUGACCCACGGCAUCCACAGGUGUGCCUGACUGUAAGGGGCUGGAUAGGCGUGCUACCCGAGACAGGGUACCCUGUGAUGUCAUCCACAUGUGUGCCUGUCUGGAGCGGGAGGGAUCUAAAUGUUCCCCAUGAGGAAGAACCCCGUGAUAGUGUCCACAGGUGUGCCUGUCUGAAACAGUCUGGAGCAGCAUGUUCCAAAUGAUGAAGGAACCCGCGAUGGCAUCCACAAGUGUGCCUGUAUGAAAAGGGCUGGAGGGGUGUGUUCCAUGCUAUGAGGGACCCUGCAAUGGCAUCCACAGGUUUGCCUAUCUGGAAUGGGCUGGAGUGGCGUGUUGUCCACCACUUGGGUCCCCGUGACUUCGUCCGCAGUUAUGCCUGACUGGAACGAGAUGAUGUAGCCUGUUCCCCAUGAUGACGGAUUCCACAAUGGAGUCCACAGGUGUGCCUGUCUAGAACGGUCUCAAUCAGCAUGUUCCCCAGGAUGAGGGACCCUGUGACGGUGUCCCAAGGUGUGCCUGUCUGGAACAAGCUGGAGGGUAGUGUUCCCCAAGAUCACUGACACUGGAUGGUGUCCUGUCUGGAGCUGGAUGGAUUGGCAUGUUCCCUGCAAUGA